rnacentral:rRNA from 1 species
UACGUAGGGUGCAAGCGUUGUCCGGAAUUAUUGGGUGUAAAGAGCUCGUAGGCGGUUUGUUGCGUCGGCUGUGAAAACCCGGGGCUCAACCCCGGGCCUGCAGCCGAUACGGGCAUGACUGGAGUUCGGCAGGGGAGACUGGAAUUCCUGGUGUAGCGGUGAAAUGCGUAGAUAUCCGGAGGAACACCGGUGGCGAAGGCGGCUUCCUGGACCGACACUGACGCUGAGGCGCGAAAGCUAGGGGAGCAAACGGG